AUACAUGUACAAUGUAUUAACUUUGAUUAUAAAAAGAAGCCUUUCCAAGACCAACUGAAUUUGUUUAUUCAAGAAAAUCAUCCUUUUAUUUACAAAUUAAAAACAUGAAUAUAAUGUGCAUUUAUUAUUUGAUUAGUUAAACGAAAUGAACUGAGUAGAAAAGUUUCAUUAAUUUUGUAGAAAAAUACAAUAAAUUUUAUUUCCAAUUGUUAAGCAAUUUUUUUUAUUGGUUAAAGGCAGUGGAUACUGGUCAUGGUUUUGACAUCACUUUGGGCCUAUAACUUUAAGUGCCCCUCAUAGCAGUCAGUAUUUCCAUGUUAAGAUAGCAAUUUACGACUUAAAGGUGCAGACAUGAAAAAAUCAUAUGAUGAUGUCACAAGAGCUGUUUUGGGCUCGCUACGAAACAGCUAAUGACAAAUUUCCAGUAUGCAUUGUAUACAAAAAUGUUUAUGUAGACAAAACUCUGGAGUUGUAUGAAAAACAUUGUAAAAAGGCGGUACAAUUUCACGGAAGAAUUUAAUCACUCUCAAUGGUAUUUGGAAACAUGCAAAUGAAAGAAUCAGGGAAAUUUUUUUUUUCUCAAUGAAAAUACACCUGUUUGUUAUAGCAGUAGCUUUACACGCUCCAAGAACUUCACUAACACAUCUUACAACCUAAAUGUGAGGGGCUGAAGAACCAGUUUGUCUGUCAGUUAUGAUGCUUCUAUGGUCAUACAAUACUACAGGGUUAUAAAUAAUAAAACAAGUGCCCUCAAUUAUACAAAUUCUAGUAAUUAUACACUACAGCAGAAGAAUUUCUUUUUCUCACUCGAGUGUAUGCUUUUGUAUGAAGUAGUUUGUUGUGUACAAUGGCACGAUCAUGGAAGGCAACAUUAUCAGGAACAGGGUCAUUAAGUAGCCUUUCUAAGGCAAGCCUUUCUUCAAUCGUUGUUUGACAAAAUUUAGCACAACCAAGAACGGUUACAUCAUCAUUAACAUGGAAUGCAUAUUUUGUAGACAACAAGCCACUUAAUAAAGAUUUACAGUACGUCUCUACUUGGGGAGAUUUAUUAUACACAAAUGAUGUCAUAAGUUGUGGAAUGUACUUCCAUAAUGUGAAGUUGUUGAUAUUUUGCAAAGGCACACCCUGAGUUCCAUGAAACAUCUUAAGAAGAUUGCCAUUAUAAGAUUCAAAGGCAAAAUGUUGAAUUGGGCCAUAAAGGACCCCAAUUAUGAACAGUAUCAACAGCAUGAAGUAGUUGGUGAACAUGUAUGUCAUGUGCUUUUUGCCAUACAGCUCCUCUACGAGAAACACAAAUUUCUUUAACAUAAUAUCUGCAUUAAUUAAAUCAUUUAGUGAAAUAGACUCUGAUAAAAGUGUCAUGACAUGACAUGUUGUUUACUAUAGUUUCCUAAGAUGUGUGAAGUUUGCGGUUGUGCGCCUUGAGUUCUAGACUAGCCACUUCUACACACGAGUUCGUAAAGUUUUCAACGUUAGAGUUUACUCUCCAGAUUCCCGUAUUUUUCUCAAGUUUAUGCCGUUAUAAGGAUCACACACAGUUGUUGAAUAAUACACAUAAUUGAUACACAAGCAGUUUUCUUCGUCAAUUUUAUUGCAACAACGUGUUUAAACUUUACGAGCUCUUCACAAAAAGAAUUGCAAGACUUUGUACCAACAGUAACCAAUGUUUUAGAUAAUUAUCUGGAAGAAUCCCGAUUAAGCAUGGGAUAGAAAAAAAUAUAAUCCAAGACCUCCAUUCAGACCCUUUCCAAAAUCGUCUAUGUAACAAUGACCUUGGUGCUCGAGUUAAGUUGUUUGGAGGUUGAAUACUUGUCAGUCUUUCAUCUACCUUACCAAUUGGGUUGCCAAUAUAAUUAUCCUCAUUAUGAUUUGACGAGUCAAACCAUAAAGAUGCAAAGUAUCUAGUAACCCCCAAAAGACUAUUGUGUAAAUAAUCUACAGUAAAGCCUUGUA